GGGAAGCAAAAGGUCUAUCAAAUGUAAAUGCAACAAAAUGCAAUUGUUCAAAUUGCUCAAUGAGAGGAAAUAUUAAUUUCACAAUCCCUUCUAAGAAUUUCAAAUUACUUGAGAAAACUCAAGAUUUUAUCACAACUUAUACUUUUGGCACUCAUACUGCUAAACACACUUUUUGUAAAAUAUGUGGGAUAACUUCAUUUUAUGUUCCAAGGUCUGAUCCUGAUGGGGUGGCUUUGACUGUUAAUUGUGUUGAUCCGGGUACACUGAAGCAUAUUGAAAUUAAGCUUGUUGAUGGUAAAAACUGGGAGAAAAUUUUUGGUGAUGGUGCUCACCAUGAAGUAAAACAUUGAUCUGAAUAUGUUGGUAGUCAAUGGAAUCUAAAGGCGGAGACUAGAGAGUCCAAAAAGAAAAGAAAAAUUGGUCAGUGCAAAAAUUAGUCUAAGCAUUUCUUUUACUAAUAUUCCAAUAGCAAAAGAAAGAGUUGACAGAAAAAAUCACCAAGGGGAGGGGAAAGAUUAGAAGAACCUUGAACAAGAGAUAGAGAAACAGGUGACUGAGGAAUGAAUUCGAAUACGCCAAUAACACACAAAGGAGGAUGUCACUGCCAAAGCGUAAGAUGGGAAGUGGAAGCUCCAUCAAGCAUUACAGUUUGGAAAUGCAACUGUAGUGAUUGUUCAAUGAGAGGUAACACUCACUUCAUAGUCCCAUCUACACAGUUCAAGCUAGUUGGAGAUUCUGAAAAGUUCAUCACUACUUACACCUUUGGCACACAUACUGCAAAGCAUACAUUCUGUAAUGUUUGUGGCAUAACAUCGUUCUACACUCCAAGGUCCAACCCAGAUGGCAUAGCUGUUACAAUCAAUUGUGUUGAUCCUGGAACAGUGACCCAUGUCGAGAUUAAGCCAUUUGAUGGCAGAAAUUGGGACAGGUCUUAUCAUCAAACCUCUAUUGCUUUGUGUUCUAAAUUGCAGAACUAAAACAAGGGUUUCAAGUAUAUCCACAAGUUCUGCUUUAAGGUCAUCAAAUUGUUGUUGAACUUAUGUGACUUUUAAGCUGUAAUUGUUUAGUCUUUUAAAGAACUCUUUUGACUUUCAUAACCUGUUAAUAUAGAUUGUUUCUCGGCUUA